rnacentral:rRNA from 1 species
UACGUAGGUGGCAAGCGUUGUCCGGAUUUACUGGGCGUAAGGGGCGUGCAGGCGGCUUGUUAAGUGCAGGGUGAAAGCUCCCGGCUCAACUGGGAGAGGUUCUUGCAUACUGGCGAGCUCGAGGGAGGCAGAGGAAAGUGGAAUUCCCGGUGUAGUGGUGAUAUGCGUAGAUAUCGGGAGGAACACCUGUGGCGAAGGCGGCUUUCUGGGCCUUACCUGACGCUGAGACGCGAAGCGUGGGGAGCGAACCGG